rnacentral:ncRNA from 1 species
GUAAAGAGACCUACUUAAAGCAGGUUUUUACUAUACUAGAUUCGCCUCACGCUCGCACCGACCAAAGUUGAGCGGGGGGCUUUUU